GAUGAACGCUGGCGGCGUGCCUAAUACAUGCAAGUCGAGCGAACGGACGAGAAGCUUGCUUUUCUGAUGUUAGCGGCGGACGGGUGAGUAACACGUGGAUAACCUACCUAUAAGACUGGGAUAACUUCGGGAAACCGGAGCUAAUACCGGAUAAUAUUUUGAACCGCAUGGUUCAAAAGUGAAAGACGGUCUUGUUGUCACUUAUAGAUGGAUCCGCGCUGCAUUAGCUAGUUGGUAAGGUAACGGCUUACCAAGGCAACGAUGCAUAGCCGACCUGAGAGGGUGAGCGGCGACAGUGGAAAUUGACCAGAGUACGGAAGACUCCGGGAGGCAGCAGUAGGCAAUGUUCGGGAAGGGGCGAGAGUCUAAAGGAGAAACGAAUCGGGAGUGAUGAAGGUCUUCGGAUCGUAAAACACUGUUAGGAGGGAAGAACAAAUGUCGAAGUAACUAUGCACGUCUGGACGGUACAUAAUCAGAGAGCCACGGCUAGCUACGUG
rnacentral:rRNA from 1 species